rnacentral:rRNA from 1 species
CCUACGGGAGGCAGCAGUGGGGAAUAUUGCACAAUGGGGGAAACCCUGAUGCAGCGACGCCGCGUGAGUGAAGAAGUAUCUCGGUACGUAAAGCUCUAUCAGCAGGGAAGAAAAUGACGGUACCUGACUAAGAAGCCCCGGAUAAAUACGUGCCAGCAGCCGCGGUAAUACGUAGGGGGCAAGCGUUAUCCGGAUUUACUGGGGGGAAAGGGAGCGUAGACGGCAGCACAAGUCUGGAGUGAAAUCCCGGGGCUUAACCCCGGAACUGCUUUGGAAACUGUGCGGCUGGAGUGCAGGAGGGGUAAGCGGAAUUCCUAGUGUAGCGGUGAAAUGCGUAGAUAUUAGGAGGAACACCGGUGGCGAAGGCGGCUUACUGGACUUUAACUGACGUUGAGGCUCGAAAGCGUGGGGAGCAAACAGGAUUAGAUACCCCAGUAGUC